rnacentral:misc_RNA from 1 species
AUUAAGCUGAAAUUACAUGCAAAAUUUAGGACUUCAUAUACUUUCCAUGAAACGAUUUUCAAUAUUUGGUAUCAAAUGUGUUCCAUUAGCCAAGCACAUUAUUACAUAAACUUAACUUAAUUAGCAUGAUGGGAAUUAAUGUUUUGUUUAAUAAUAAUAAUAAAAAAAAAUGAAAACACACAGCAGAGUUCUUUAUUGAUUCUUCAUUAGUCCUAUCGAACAAAAUAACAAAUGUAAAGUUGCUCAAAGAAAUCUUUUAUCCCUCAAUUUCCAUUUCUUGUAUAGGUUAUGCAGUUUAAUCUUCUUCUUCUUACCAGAUAUCUUCCCAUCUGAACCAACUGGAAUAGUAGCUUGCAAGUGGAUUGCAUGAUGCUUACUCCUAAUUCCCCAAGUAUUAUACCGAAUCAUGGUUGAUAAAUCAGCCUUCAAUUCAGCGUUUCCAUUUGAAAUUGAAUUGGCAAGAGCUCUCUGUACUUUCUCAUCAGCAUCCAUGUUGUACCUAUCUUGAAUCUUCUUAUCCUUUUCUUGUUUGAAAGAAGAAAUUUUUCUCUUUCCCACCGUAUCCUGCCCAAAAUAUAAUAUAAAAAAAGUGUCAUUAUAGUAGAUACUGGAGUCCUUGUUUGGAUUUUUAAUUUCCAGUGUAAUACUGACGGUGUCAUCCUGGUACGCAUCGCCUGGUGCAGAAGAUUUCUGGCUAGAUAUCGAUGGGACAGAGAACUCUGUAAUGGUGAAGGUAGGUUCUUUGGGACGAAAACUUAGCCAUAAACAAAGAGCAAGGAGACCUAAGAGGCCGAUAAUUUGAAGAAGCCAUAAAUAGAAGUUUUUGGCUUCACACAUUUCUAUUAUCUUUGAAACGUUCAGAGAAGUUUUUUGAAGUAUCUAAUGAUCAUUUUAGAAUGAAAUUAAUUAUUUUUUUUUCCCUGGAAGGCAAUCAUGCUUUGAGUGCAAAGAAAGGUAAGAAGCUUUAUACUUUCUGUUGAAGGAUAGGAGUUAUGAGGGGAAUAUUGUAGGUUAAUGCAUAUUAUCAAAGUUUCAUGUACAAGGAGAUAUAUGCUUUUCUUCAUAGUGGUAUUUUGCUUCUGUGAUGCAACAGGCCAAUCCAAACCCUCAUUGGCACAAGAGAUAAAAGGUGCGACAAAAGUCUUCUUCAUGCCUUCUGGCCAUGAUCGACAACUAACUAAAUUGGGAUUCAUAACGUGGUUAGUCUUCCUCCGCACCUUAAAAGGUGCAAGGAGCAGGGUAGAUUCUUUACCUUUCCUGUGAGAGUUGUUAAAGGAAAAGUGUUACCUAUUUCUUGUGUAACCCAUCAGUUUUUAUUCAGCCAUUGAGCCUCCAUCUAAUAAUGAAUAAACUAGGUUCAUACAGUAAAUAUAACUUUACAAUUGAUCUAAUAAAAGGUGUUCGAUCAGUCAAUCUUGAUAGUUUUCCUGAAGACAGAGCAGCAAGGCUUGCAUUAUUGCAGUAAGAAUGGAAAAUUUCUUGCAAUCUCUUAGCUGCAUCACUAACUUGCCAAGUGAUAAAUUCCAAGAAACACCAUUUCCCCAUGGUCUAAUUGCAUUGUAUAUACCUAUACUAAAGUAAUUUUACUGACUAGGAAAAUAAUUAUAUAACUGUUAGGAAAUUAGUAAGAAACUAAACCUUAGUUCCCUUUUCUUGUGGGCCUGGCUUUGACACUAUUCUGUAGGUUUAUAUUCAGGUUUCCCAGAAUCUUUCCAUUCAAACCAAUGGGAAGAGAUGCCUCCACAUCUAUCUGGUGAUGCUUUGUCACAGUUCUGAAUAUCUUGUACUUGAAUUUGAUUCUAUUUUUUAAACUAACUCUCACAUUAAUACUGCUGGUUGUUCCUCUCCAAAACCAAAACUUAUGGCUGGGAUUCACUGGAACUCGCAAGGAAAUAUUCUCUCCGUAGCCCUCGUAGAACCCUUGCAGGGACUUGUUGCCGAUAACAGAAUCAUUGUAAUGCAAGGCUAAGUGGAUGUCAUCACAGUAGAUGCCUAAUCCUUGGUUGGGGUUUGAAAUUUGGAGUAGGAGGAUAAUAGAGGUGUUUGGAGCGACUCUUUGGUGAUGAAGUGUUGAAUUGCUUCCAUGUGAAAGUGGAAUAUUAACACUGGUGAUCGUGUAGAUAGGAUAUUUAGGGGUUAAACAUAUCCAAAUUAGAUAGGAGAUGGAAGCUAACACGACAAAAACUUGAAGAAACCAGAGAUAGACAGAAAGCUGAGCUUUAGUGUCUUUGUGGAGAGCCAUUAAUUUGCUGAGAAAAAAGACUUCUCG